rnacentral:tRNA from 1 species
GCCUAGUUAGCUUGGAGGGUAGUGCGUCUGCCUUGUAAGCGCUAGGUCGCGGGUUCGAUUCCCACCCGAGGCG